rnacentral:rRNA from 1 species
UACGAAGGGGGCUAGCGUUGCUCGGAAUCACUGGGCGUAAAGCGCACGUAGGCGGCUUGUUAAGUCAGGGGUGAAAUCCUGGAGCUCAACUCCAGAACUGCCUUUGAUACUGGCGAGCUUGAGUUCGGGAGAGGUGAGUGGAACUGGCGAGUGUAGAGGUGAAAUUCGUAGAUAUUCGCAAGAACACCAGUGGCGAAGGCGGCUCACUGGCCCGAUACUGACGCUGAGGUGCGAAAAGCGUGGGGGAGCAAACAGG